rnacentral:rRNA from 1 species
GACGAGCGCUGGCGGCGUGCCUAAUACAUGCAAGUAGAACGCUGAAGGAGGAGCUUGCUUCUCUGGAUGAGUUGCGAACGGGUGAGUAACGCGUAGGUAACCUGCCUGGUAGCGGGGGAUAACUAUUGGAAACGAUAGCUAAUACCGCAUAAGAGUAGAUGUUGCAUGACAUUUGCUUAAAAGGUGCAAUUGCAUCACUACCAGAUGGACCUGCGUUGUAUUAGCUAGUUGGUGGGGUAACGGCUCACCAAGGCGACGAUACAUAGCCGACCUGAGAGGGGGAUCGGCCACACUGGGACUGAGACACGGCCCAGACUCCUACGGGAGGCAGCAGUAGGGAAUCUUCGGCAAUGGACGGAAGUCUGACCGAGCAACGCCGCGUGAGUGAAGAAGGUUUUCGGAUCGUAAAGCUCUGUUGUAAGAGAAGAACGAGUGUGAGAGUGGAAAGUUCACACUGUGACGGUAUCUUACCAGAAAGGGACGGCUAACUACGUG